UGUAAUUUACAUAUUUUUUCCUUUUUUUUUUGCAGUAUUUACUCCUAUUUUAAAUUUAUUUUGCAUGCAUUCCAAUUUUAGAUGAAGUGGUUGUAUGUUUGAUAUCGAAGUCAAUAUUUACUUUCAUAUUUCUUUCAUGCCAUUCCCAUAAAUCAUUUCAGCAGUAGGCAUGAAUUCAAAAUUGUUCAGGUAUCCUGCAAAUGGCAUUGUUGAUAAG
rnacentral:lncRNA from 1 species